GAUGAACGCUGGCGGCGCGCCUAACACAUGCCAGUCGAACGGUUAAAGCACCUUUUAGUGUGUUUAAAGUUGCCGACGGGCGAGUUACACGGGGGCAAACCGGCCUCCUCUUUGGGGUAGGCUCGGGAAAACGGAGAUAAAACCCGAUACCUCAAAGGGGCCGCCUGACCAACUUGAGAAAGCUUUUGCGGGGAAGGAUGGGCCCGCGGCCUGUUAGCUUGUUGGGGGGGUAGAGGCCUACCAAGGCAAGGAGGGGUAGCUGGGUUGAGAGACCGACCAGCCAGAUUGGGACUGAGACACGGCCCAGACUCCUACGGGAGGCAGCGGUGGGGAAUCUUGCACAAUGGGCGAAAGCCUGAUGCAGCGACGCCGCGUGCGGGACGAAGGCCUUCGGGUUGUAAACCGCUUUCAGCAGGGACGAGGCGAUAAGUGACGGUACCUGCAGAAGAAGCCCCGGCUAACUACGUG
rnacentral:rRNA from 1 species